CCCUAUCGCUUCCCCUUCUUCCAGCGUAACCUCGGCCUUCUCCCGUUAGUCACUUUUCGUUAUCCCAUGAUUUCUAUCUCUUUUUUCUCCUUCACUCCCAGGUUCCCUUUCCCCCACCUUCUCUGUAUCCCACAUUUGAGGGUAAAGAUCGGGAGAUAUUGGACCACCAUCUGGGGAUGGUGGUCCCACUCACAGUAUACUCCCCAGAAAAAUAAAGUGAGGAGGAAGCUGGGCAGGGAGGUGGGAAGGGACUCGAGAAACCAACUUGGGAGAGAAUAAGGGGAGAGGGGAAAUCAGACAAAGAUGGAGAGCAAGCAAUCUUAAAGGAACUGGGAGAGUUCCGAUUCCUGUCCUUCUUCCUUAGGACUGUGAGUAGGCUGUGAGAAAAUCAGGUUUUCUCGACUUGAGAGGUGUACAAAUGGCACAAAGAAAUCAGGAACUUCUGGGGAGAAAGAACAAAGUUUCAGUUGAAGAAAAUCGGAGUGUGAUUUUGGAAGAGGAGUGAGGGAGAGACUGGGGUCCUUGGUCAUAUCCACAGCUCUGGCUUGGGCAGUGGGGUGGAUGGUGGUGAGGCUGGCUGUUCUCCACAAAAGGAGCAGGAGGAGGCUGCAGGGGGUUGGUGUGGGGAGAUGAUGAUGUCACUUGGGGCUGCUGACUUUGAAGUGCCUGUGGGGAAGGUAGGUCUGCAACUUAGAGGAGCGGUCUGAGAUGGACAUAAAUAUUUGGGAGUCAUCUGCAAAUACCGUAUAAGCUUGAAUAUAGGGUUUACAUUUCUAGGUUGGUUGAAAAGCUUUUUCGAUCUUCUCACUGGGAAAAAUGAAAAAUUACGGUUUGGGCAAGACCCAUUAACCUGAAAUGUCCUCAACAACCCAAUUUGGGUUGCUUUGUAUAGUAAGUGUGACAGAUGGUAAGUGAAUCUAAGGGAGUGAAGGAGAUUGCUGAGGGAGAGCACAUCUAUUAGGAAGAAGAGAAGGUCUAGGACUGAUGCUAAGAAGCUCCAACAUGUAAAGGCUGAGAAGAGGAGGAGCCCCCAAAGGAAAGUGAGAAGGCAUGGCCAGACAGGGAGGAGAAAGAAAGGGAGAUGAGUGGUGCCAUCAAAGCCCAGGGAAUGACCAAGGAAGAAGCCAUGAAGUGAGGAGUGGUCAUCAGGGUUGAAUGACACAGAAGAGACCAGUGAGGUAAGGAGCUCAUGGAGAGAAUGGAGCAAGGUCUUGGAGGAGAGAGGAGGGACUGAAGAAUUAACCAUCAAAACAAGGAGGGAUUGGUCUUUGCCAGGAAGAGAAGUACCUCCUCCUUCAAGACGGAAAAGGAAGAUGAGUGGGGUGCAGAUAAGUGCAUGGGUGUAAGUAUGUGGUAGUGAGGCAGGAAGGUGGACAGGGCAGGAAUUUGAGGCCAUCAUACCUGAUGAUCUCAUUCUCUCUAGAUUGGAGUUGGGAUUUUGUGAAAAAUGGGCACAAGGUAGCCAACACAGUUAGAAAUCUUGAGGGAAGUUUUAAAGGAGUGGAGACGCUGUUAAGGGGAGUGAUAGCUGGUGGCCUUAUAGGCCUAAGGGACCAAGGAGUUGAGGAUACUGGCAAGAGAACAAAGGAUAUAGACACACCUACACCUAAGUCCUUGAUGAAAAAGAGGAAAAGUCAUUUCAUGACAACACUGAGGAGAAUAGAGGCUUGUGUAAGACAGCAUAAUCUCAAAGGCUGAGAGGUGAGGAUGGAGAAGUAGUUAUCUCUAUUUAGGCCUUGGGAAACCUGGAGAAUUGAGACUUCAUCCCUCUUCCUUCCAAGAUAUGUGGAAGUAUGUACAGAAGGGGAGUGCUUAAGCAAAGCCAGGUCUCUUACACAGAAAGUGGAGGCUCAGAGGUAUAUGAAGGGGCUGAGAUUUCGGGAGUUUGUCACCAUGUAAUGGAGGUUUCAGAACAGGAAAGAUUGAGGGGUGGGUCCAUGAUGGGAAGGGCUAAAA